rnacentral:rRNA from 2 species
GGCGCCUUGUGCGCACCGGCGGACGGCUCAGUAACACGUCGGUAACCUACCCUCGGGAGGGGGAUAACCCCGGGAAACUGGGGCUAAUCCCCCAUAGGCCUGAGGUACUGGAAGGUCCUCAGGCCGAAAGGGGCUCUGCCCGCCCGAGGAUGGGCCGGCGGCCGAUUAGGUAGUUGGUGGGGUAACGGCCCACCAAGCCGAAGAUCGGUACGGGCCAUGAGAGUGGGAGCCCGGAGAUGGACACUGAGACACGGGUCCAGGCCCUACGGGGCGCAGCAGGCGCGAAACCUCCGCAAUGCGGGCAACCGCGACGGGGGGACCCCCAGUGCCGUGGCAUCGCCACGGCUUUUCCGGAGUGUAAAGAGCUCCGGGAAUAAGGGCUGGGCAAGGCCGGUGGCAGCCGCCGCGGUAAUACCGGCGGCCCGAGUGGUGGCCGCUAUUAUUGGGCCUAAAGCGUCC